AUUGAACGCUGGCGGCAUGCCUAACACAUGCAAGUCGAACGGCAGCACGUUCUAGUUUACUAGAAUGGUGGCGAGUGGCGGACGGGUGAGUAAUGCGCAGGAAUAUACCUUAGAGAGGGGGAUAACUUGGGGAAACUCAAGCUAAUACCGCGUACGCUCUACGGAGAGAAGCUGGGGACCUUCGGGCCUGGCGCUUUAAGAUUAGCCUGCGUCCGAUUAGCUAGUUGGUGGGGUAAGGGCCUACCAAGGCGACGAUCGGUAGCUGGUCUGAGAGGAUGACCAGCCACACUGGAACUGAGACAAGGUCCAGACUCCUACGGGAGGCAGCAGUGGGGAAUAUUGGACAAUGGGGGAAACCCUGAUCCAGCGACGCCGCGUGGGUGAAGAAGGCCUGCGGGUUGUAAAGCCCUUUCGGUAGGGACCAAAGCCUCCGACCUAACACGUCGGGGGGUUGACUUAACCUACAGAAGAAGCACCGGCUAACUCUGUGCCAGCCGCCGCCGUAAUAC
rnacentral:rRNA from 1 species